rnacentral:tRNA from 1 species
GGUGUGGCUCAGUGUUAGAGUACUUGCCUAGCAUGCAUUAGGCCCUGAGUUUGAACCCCAGCACC